CUACAGGGGUAUCUAAUCCUGUUUGCUCCCCUAGCUUUCGUGCAUCAGCGUCAGUUAUGGUCCAGUGAGCCGCUUUCGCCACAGGUGUUCCUUCCGAUAUCUACGCAUUUCACCGCUACACCGGAAAUUCCACUCACCUCUCCCAUACUCAAGCCCGGCAGUUUCUUAUGCAGGCUUCGGGUUGAGCCCGAAGAUUUCACAUAAGACUUGCCAAACCGCCUACGCACCCUUUACGCCCAAUAAAUCCGAACAACGCUUGCCCCCCUCGUAUUACCGCGGCUGCUGGCAC
rnacentral:rRNA from 1 species